GAUGGGUUGGUGAUGGGCGUUUUGCUCGUGAACCCGGUCAGAUCCGGAAGGAAGCAGCCGCAACGAAAUCAAAGCGGGUCGUUGCCAACUCAUUUCA
rnacentral:SRP_RNA from 1 species